rnacentral:lncRNA from 1 species
AUACUCUAAACUGUUGCCUGCGAAAGAGGAACUGGGGACUUAGACUAAUUCAGGCUGCUUUCAUUCAAAUGUUCCAGAGGGCACACACACAUCCAAACAGACUUCUCUUUGCUUUUCAGAGCUUAUAAGGAGCAGGCAUCUGAAGCUGCACUCUGAAGCUGUAAGUGGUAACUGACAUUUUAAGUAACAUUUUAAGUAAUAGAAGGUGUUUUUCUGUUUUUCUGCAAAGGGAUUACUCUUUAGGAAGAUGAAAGAGAAACCAUACUUUGCAUGAACAUAGUCCUGCUUCUUUGGCAAAACAAGGCUUUCAUUCUAUGUUCCAGCUAUUCCAGAGAUGUUCCUGAACAAGUUACCUGUUGGUGAAAGCUUCAAAAGGGAUACUUAAGUGACCAAUCCUAUUCAUACUGUGGGCCAGGAGAGGUAAGAAAUAUUUGGAAAUAUUACGAUGUUAAUCCCGGUGAAGUGAGAGGCAUUAUUUUAUUUAUCGGCAGGUGUGACAAAUAGGCACCAUCUGCUGCAGAAGAUACAGCAACUCCUACUUGAGCGAGCUUAUUACUUAAUGGCUCCAGCCACUGAAGAAGCAUUUGCUGCUGGAAUCGUUUUUUCACAGGGUGAUGUGGAACUAGACACACUUCUCUCUCUCAGUUUUUUCUCCUCAGCUAGGAAGAUAAAUAUAAAUAGAAUGUAUUAACUCUUAAAAGCUGAUAUCAGUUGAUAGUUUUGAAUUUCUUUUCUGAAUUGUUCCACUGAAGGUUUUCCUUAACUACUUGAUGAGAUUUCAGCUCUGGAAUUAUAUAGGCAGGUGUCAUGCAGAAAAAUGUAAAAUUACCAGUGGGUUGUUCCCAGAACCUUAUCAUGUUAAAGAAAAUAAAAGUAACUACUAGGAGCACCCUGAGAACCAAACAGAGAUCAGGGUACACUUAUUUUAUAUCUCCAGCACCUAAAAAAGUGUCUGGAACUUGAUUGGCACUCAAUAAAUGUUUGCCAAAGAAAUGUUAAUCUGAUUUUGGAGGCCUGUGGAGAACUUGGUUGCUCUUGCUACAAAUAAGUUUCACUCAAAGAAUCCCUCUCGGGCUUGAUUGAUGCAGAAAGUUAUUCCCUUAUCAUUCUGGGGAGCAAAAUUCAUGAUCUAGGAGUGUAUGUUAUUUUGCUCCUAUGAGGUU